GAGAAAAAUUGUCCAUUAGCUCCAUUUUCCUUCCAAUGAAGUUGAAGAGUUCAACAAAGUUAUUUGAUUCUACUAAGUAAGCACUAUCAUACAAAUGCUUAAUUCUGUUGUUGACAAUGUGAAAAAGGCAAAAAUGGCUGAAACCUUAUUUGUUCAGGCUAAGAUCAGGUAUGAAAAUCCUGUAUACGUGAGUAUUGCUAUUGAAAAUAAAUUGAAGUUAGAAAUUAAGGAAACUAUGAAGGAGAUUGAUUUAGUGAAGAAAACAACCACUUAUUUCAAUGAACUGCGUGAAAGACCAUUCUGGCCCAAGAAUAAUGAAGAAAAGUGGCACACAAAGCUUUCAAGGGCACAAGUCUGACUCGACUUUGGAAGAAGCUACGAGCAUUACUGAGAAACUUGCCAUUCUAGAUGUGAAAAAAAAUCAGGUCAUGUCGUAUUAUAAAUGUUUAUAUUCUAAAUCAAAUUACUUCUAAGGCGAUUUUAGAUUAUUUUCUUGAAGGAAACUCUAUAUCAAUCCGUAUGAAUCUUAAUUUGUUUUAAAUUUUAAA